GAUGAAGAACGCAGCGAAAUGCGAUAAGUAAUGCGAAUUGCAGAAUCCGUGAAUCAUCGAAUCUUUGAACGCACAUUGCGCCCCCUGGUAUUCCGGGGGGCAUGCCUGUUCGAGCGUCAUUUCACCACUCAAGCCUCGCUUGGUAUUGGGCAACGCGGUCCGCCGCGUGCCUCAAAUCGACCGGCUGGGUCUUCUGUCCCCUAAGCGUUGUGGAAACUAUUCGCUAAAGGGUGUUCGGGAGGCUACGCCGUAAAACAACCCCAUUUCUAAGGUUGACCUCGGAUCAGGUAGGGAUACCCGCUGAACUUAAGCAUAUCAGUAAGCGGAGGA
rnacentral:misc_RNA from 1 species